GCCUGGGUGGCUCAGCAGUUGAGCGUCUGACUUUAACUCAGGGCAUGAUCCUGGAGUCGUGGGAUUGAGUCCCAUGUGGGGCU
rnacentral:tRNA from 1 species